ACCAUUCAUACAAGGCAUCAACCUGGUCGCUUUCGUGAUAUUGUUAACUCAUUUAUUUACUUCUCGCACUGAAACUCCCCUUCCCCGUGUUUACUAGUUUUCUAUACAUUGCACACAUUUUGUCUUGAUUGAAGGCAGUACCUAUGGAUUAGAUAUUUUUAUUAUUUCGACAGUAUCAAUACACUUGCUGAGAAGUCAUCAACUUUUUGGCGCCAUUGUUGGAGACUAUUGAUUUUUUAAUAAGGCGACGUUUGUGCAAUUUUUU
rnacentral:lncRNA from 1 species